rnacentral:rRNA from 1 species
UUGGAGGGCAAGUCUGGUGCCAGCAGCCGCGGUAAUUCCAGCUCCAAUAGCGUAUAUUAAAGUUGUUGCAGUUAAAAAGCUCGUAGUUGUAUUUCGGGACCAGUUGGUCGGUCGUGCCUCGGUACGUACUGGUCAAAUUGAUUCCUACCUUCUGACGAACCACGAUGUCAUUAAUUUGGUGUCGCGGGAAAUCAGGACUGUUACUUUGAAAAAAUUAGAGUGUUUAAAGCAGGCUCGCGCUUGAAUACAUUAGCAUGGAAUAAUGAAAUAGGACGUUUGAUUCUAUUUUGUUGGUUUCUAGGAUCGACGUAAUGAUUAAUAGGGAUAGUUGGGGGCAUUAGUAUUCAAUCGUCAGAGGUGAAAUUCUUGGAUUUAUUGAAGACUAACUGCUGCGAAAGCAUUUGCCAAGGAUGUUUUCAUUAAUCAAGAACGAAAGUUAGGGGAUCGAAGACGAUCGGAUACCGUCGUAGUCUUAACCAUAAACUAUGCCGACUAGGGAUCGGAUGAUGUUAAUUUUUUAAUGACUCAUUCGGCGCCUUACGGGAAACCAAAGUGUUUGGGUUC